CAGCUUGUUUGUUUAGAAGAGGUGUGUCAGGAACUUUGGAUCAGUGAACUAUACACCCACAUAGGGAGCGUGGGAGACAAUGACAGGUGAGAUCAAUGCUUUAACACUGCUGAACGUUUAUCACUAGCUGGGUUUCUAAGCGUUAAGCAAAUCUUUUCAAAAUUCGCCAAAAAAAUAAAAAUAAAGAAAUGUGAAUUAGGUAAAUUUCUAUCAAGUCGUUCGAACAAAUGAGGUGGUGACCUACUAGGUGGUAACCUAGUAACCAACAGAAAACAAAACAAGGUACGCAUGAAAAUGGAAACAGGACUGCAUGUACAGUAGUCACAAUGGGGCAAGUUAUUCAUUUAUUAGCCGUGCAGCUUGUAAUUGGCAAACUGAAUGCUGUGCACAGAAAAAGGAAUGCAGCAUUUUUGAUGAAGGCACUAGCUGCAAGGUCAUUGCAGUGUCGUCGAGCACAAUAUAUAUGGUAAAGACAAAGACAGUGGAAACAGCUAGACGAUCAGUCCUGUGUGUUUAAUGUUUGCUACUUCAGAAUUAAUUCGGCAAAUGCGUUUCCAUAUCCCAUUAUUCGCAUUUAAUAUUUUUCAAAUAUAUCAAAAACCACCUCAAGCGAGCAGCAUGAUAACUUUUUUGCAAAUUAAGGGAUUUUUAAUCGAAAUGUGGCAUUUUCAUCACUCGUUCUUGAUGUGAUACUUCAAAAUGUGCAUAAAAUCAUGGUAAUGGAAACAUGGCUACUCCCAAAAAGAGUCCAGCUUCUGAUGUCCGAGUGCUCAUUCUGAAACUGGGAAUGCCAUUCAUAAGUGGACUAACUAACACAAAUGCCAUUUGUCAUAAAUAUAUGUAUCCCUAUAAAGUUACUGUAGAUACAAACAGGGCUUGACAUUAACCCCGCCAUCCCUCCAAAUGGGGGUAGAUUUCAGCUGUGACUAGUAAGACAGUUGCUGCAUCCGAAACCGCCUACUUCAUACUAUAUAGUACGCGAAAAGCAGUAGGCGAGGCGAGUAGUAUGUCCGAAUACAUAGUAUUCGAAAAACAGUAUGCGAAAAGUACCCAGAUGACCUACUACUUCCGGUUAGAUUUUGCAGUGUGCAUACGAUGGACACUUCACUAUCCUAUGAUGCCCUGGCAGAGGAGUUAUCCAACGAAGAAGAAGAGGCAUGCGGCUGUUUUCGCGCUGGAAUGACAUGACGUGCUGACGUAUGUCACGUGAUGUAGCAACAUGGCGGAUGUAGUACGUCCGAAUCUCAUUCAUACUACCAGGAUUCAUACUAUACAGUACCUACUGUUUUAACGGCAAGUAAGUAGGUACUUCAUCUUAUUUAGUACCUACUGUAUAGUAUGCGGUUUCGGACGCAGCCAGUCACUCCCACUAGCCACUUUGGCAGUAAUAUUUAUAUAUUUUUUAUUGUAGUUUUCUUAAAAGCCAUGUUAAUUAAUAAAUAAUACGUGGUGUGACACUACAAAACUACAACUCUUAUAAGCACUCCCAGCACCCUGCGAAACACAAGGGCUAUUACCAUAGAGAGCUCGACUACUGAUGGAUUUGCAAACCCAUAGGACACAGUCUGAGCGAACACACGCACACUUCAGGGAAGGGGAAAGAUACGCCAUUACACAGAAGACAUUUUAAGUGUUUGCUCACUCUCUGGGCGAGAGGGGAGAGAAAUUCAUAGAGCUGAAGGUGCCCAUUUGUUUGUGCAAAGGCAAAUGAAACCCUUGAGGGGAGAGGUUCACGCUUGUGCAUCAUAAACCCCAUUCACACAGCACUUUGAUCACAGAAAAAUUCUGUAACAUUGGCAGAGAGCCUUCUGUGCGAACACAAACACAUCCUGUAAAAGUUAUGUGAUCGCUCCUGUAAAGGGGACCUAGUAACAUUUAUGGAAUGCCUCCAUUUAUGGAAUGCUGUAAGGGCUGUGCCGUAAAGAGAAUGCACGUGUCAUUGCAACAAGAAGUUAUCAUUAAGCUCUUUGACACAAGGGAUUUAAAUGCAUAUUAACAUUCACAUUAAGAAAUAACAGAACAGUGCGUCACAAGCUCCUUUAUGAUCUUAUCAUAAACAAAACUGCACACACAUAGUUUCUCAAGAGAGAAAUCAUAGAUAAUAAGCAAACUUUAGAUGUUGCGGAUAAAAUUGCAGGACUUGAAAUAUGUCACAUUUAUUUAUGCGAUCUUUACGGAAAAUAAGUAUGUGAAUAUACCAAAAUCAAAUAUCCCCUGACAAAUUGCGGACACAUUUUUUGUGUGUUUUCCGUAAUCUAUGUGUGAAAAGGGCUAUAAUAUGAUUUUGUACUUUUGCGCAACAAUAAUGCUCUCUCGACAUUUGUCAGUAAAACACAAUAAACAAAGUCUUGAAUCACCAUGUACGCAUAUGUACGAAAGUAUAUAGAUCUCAUCUGCACGAAAAACUUUCACCCUCAAACCUAUUAGCUCCACCCAACAGGAAGUCAGACAUUUUGGAUUGUUUAAAAAAUGCAUGCGGUGAACUUUUAAAUACUCCUCAUAGGGGAUUCAUGUGAUUGAUACCAAAUGUGGUGAACAUGAUGCUGAGACAUUGGACUUGCUAAAUUGAAGAUUUCUGAUAUAUUAAAACAUAGUUGCCAUGGCGAGGCUACAAAUAUAUGGUGAAAUCAGAGAAACAGAAAGUGUCUUAUAUCUAAGGCAAAAAAUGUCUUAGGGUUUUAGGUCUUCUGAAGAUUCCCAACGCAUCCAUGAAUUAAUGAACUAAGAAUGUCAAGAGCAGCUGGAACUGAGACAGAGAUAUUGGACACAUAUAGUAACAAGUCAUUGGCAUAUAGGGAGACCUUCUGUUAAAGACUAUGGGCUCUAUCUUACACCUGGCACAAUGCAGGGCAAUGCGCGACGCAGGUGUCUUUUGCUAGUUUCCACCCUGCGCAAUGAUAAUUUUCACGUUUAGCGCCACGUUGUUUAAAUAGCAAAUGCAUUUGCUCCCCCUUUUCCGCCCAUGGGCGUUCUGGUCUGAAAUCGAGGUGUGGUCAGGCGCAUUGUUGGCGCGUUGUUAUUUUGAGGCAACUAAAAUAGACUACGCCAUUGACCAACAAAAACCUGGUCUAAAGUCUAAAGUCAAUGGCGCAAUAUGUUUUUUUAUUAUUUAAAGAGCGCGUUAGUAAUAUGCGUCUAUGAAAGGGACGACCACGCGGGUUUGCUUAACACAUACAUGAAUGCGCAGCAGCACAAAAACGCUUUUAAAUAUGAAAGAUUAAAGGAUUGAUUGUAAAAGAUUAUUACUGAGUCUCUUGGACAUAAAUGAAGACUAAUUAUGAGACGUUAGAAGGCACAAAAAGCUGCUUCACCUGCAGCCUGUUAAGUAAAUAAAUGCUUUUCUUUAAACAAAUGCAUCUGUUUUUAAAUGUUUUUUUUUUAAAUGCUACCUCACAGAUUUAUAGUAUAUAAUGAGUCUGUACCUGUGGAUAUGGUGAGAUGAGAAAUUUUUUUAAGUAAUGCUUAAAAAAACUGACGCUGUCCAAGUGCUGAAACGUGCAGAGAGCCGUUUGUAAAUUCUUUAUCUCCUGUUUGUUACAAAUAAAGUAUUUUUAGAGUACAAACCUUUUCUUACAUACUUGUAAAUUAUUUUUUGAUGAUAUUGAAUAGCCAUACAUUUAAAGAGCACCUAUUAUGGGAUGCACGUUUUUAAACAUCAUUUUGUGUGUAAAUGUGUAUUAGUACAUGCUAACGAUAUUCAAAAAGUACAUACCUCAAAGAAAACGAUGACGCGAGUUAUCGUCUCUAACGUUCGAGGACUACAAAAAACACUCGGAUUGUAGGCAACAGUUUACUUCCUGGGAUUAGUGACGUAGAUAAGACCAACAUUAUCAUAGUUCAGCCCUCUCUGCUUUGCUUGGGUACGCCCUCAAAGACGAGGGUGGGGAGCGCCGAGUCAGAAGAGAGCUAAAAUGGCGGAGGUUGGGAGUCCCUGCUUUGACUCUGUUUGCAAACUCUUGUUUCAUCGUUUAAGCGAUUAAAUCUCUCGAGUAGACGCUGUCUCUUUAGAUGCGAGGGCAAAAUAGCACUUUAUGGACUUCCACAGAGGACAUCAUGUUUAAUACGGUUCCGGAAAAAUCCAGUCAGAAGUUGUUCACGGAGUUUUCACAAUAACUGCUUCUCAUGAACCGAAGCUGGACGUCUCCUACUGAAAGUUGGAUUACUGUGCACUUCUGGAUCACAGGCUGUAAGUAUUCACGUUUAUUAUUUGCCUUUUACUGUACAUUACGUAACCGGUAACCGGAGAUUAACAUAAUGUGCGUGUAGAGCUAAGCUUGCAAGCGAACUGUUUUGUGUUGUAAUACUGUAUUUCAUAAACAACGUACCAUAUUUACACACGUGUAUGUUGAAUUAUGCAGACUAUCGUUUUUUUAUCGAUGUUGGUUAAGACAUGUUUACAAACUUGCUAAGUUACCAGCUAAACUGUUACCGGUAAAAUUUGUUCUCAUGAUCAAACUCAAGAAACUCUUGAGUACAGAUGAUUUGUUUAAAGUUAUAUGUAUUUUACUGUUGUAUUUACUUGAAGCUUUCUUAGAUUUUGAAACGAAGUAAACACGUAAUGUGUGUUGCUAAUGUUGGGCCAUGUAAUGUGUAAUACAUUAACGUUUUAAUGAAUAGUCUAACGAUUUAUAAUCGUUGUACUCUAUUGUUAUAAUAUGUAUUUUUGACUGAAUACAUGUUUGUUUUAUUUGUCUAUAUCCUAGAUUCGCAGCUGGACACAUCCUUCUACACUGUAUGCAAACAUGCAACAUCAUAACACACAGUACAAGGAGUCAGACUGGCAUAUGAGGAGCAAAGGAACCCACGCAGUAGCAUCGUUUCACAAUGUUUCCAUCACCAUCAUCAGUGGAUGCCUUUGCCGUCCGUAGCCUGAGAUUUCAGAUUUGCAGCAAAAAAAUUUGAUUUUCUCAUUUAUUGGAAUGCUAUGCAGGUUGUACCUUGCAGCCAUCCAUUACAAUGUCACCAAGCCGUAACAAAAGCAGGAGAGGGAAGUACAAGGCUAUGUUCCCAAAACACACAAAUGACAUACCUUAUGUGGAUGAUGUGAUCAGGCUUGUGUUUGCUGAGGUAUUUGAAGAUAAGCUGAAGGAAACCCCGAUUCCAAUGGACCUGGCAUCACAGUUUGAGAGACCUUCAAAGGAGGACGUGAUUGCAUGCCAUCUUCAGUG